GACGAACGCUGGCGGCGUGCUUAACACAUGCAAGUCGAACGGAAAGGCUCCAGCUUGCUGGAGUACUCGAGUGGCGAACGGGUGAGUAACACGUGGGUGAUCUGCCCUGCACUUCGGGAUAAGCCUGGGAAACUGGGUCUAAUACCGGAUAGGACCGCACUUUGGUGUGUGUGGUGGAAAGGUUUUUCUGGUGUGGGAUGAGCUCGCGGCCUAUCAGUUUGUUGGUGGGGUAAUGGCCUACCAAGACGGCGACGGGUAGCCGGCCUGAGAGGGUGGACGGUCACAUUGGGACUGAGAUACGGCCCAGACUCCUACGGGAGGCAGCAGUGGGGAAUAUUGCACAAUGGGGGAAACCCUGAUGCAGCGACGCCGCGUGGGUGAUGAAGGCCUUCGGGUUGUAAACUCCUUUCGCUAGGGACGAAGCUUUUUGUGACGGUACCUGGAGAAGAAGCACCGGCUAACUACGUG
rnacentral:rRNA from 1 species